rnacentral:ncRNA from 1 species
AAAACGACAUAUUAACGGCGGCGUAUAUCAAAAAUGAUAUAUGUGAAGCUGACUAUAUCGGUAAAAUCCCAAAUUGAUUUAAGGAUAAUACCGAGGGAACUCCGAUGUUUAUCGGAGGCCCGUAGAGACUAUGCGUCAGCCAUCUUGAAACAAAGAUGAAGAUAUAGUCCGAUCCUCGCAGUAAUGCGAGA